rnacentral:rRNA from 1 species
GGAGCCAUUAAAAAAAGCAGCACCAAAAGAAUCCCCACCGAGAGUUAUCCUGCGUGGAGUCCUCAUUACCAGAGGAGCGCUGGCUUGUCUUCUCCGCCCCUACCCCCCUUCCAACGCGCGAUGUGCUGCAGCCACACACACCCUGGUGGUGCUCUGCUCCAGCCAUAACCCAACCAAUGAACACUCCUCCCUCCCGCCCUGAUGAUCCUCGGUGCCAGGAGAGGACGCCGGAGCUGGGCGAAGCGCCUUGCUUGGGGCCUAGCUCUGUCCUGUCUCGCUCCGUUCCCAUUUUGAUGCGGCUUGUUUUAAUCCUCCCCAUCUGCUUUUUUACAGAUGUUGUUGAUUCAACGGACAGACCUGCCGAUCUGAUUUCCCAGGCCGUCGCCUGUCGAUUGAUCCGAUUUGGUUUGGACCUAUGGCUGUUCUGUUAGCUGCUGAUUGCGCGCUUAUCUGAUUCAGAGUUCUUCCUUCGAACUAUGGAUUGCGUGUAUUCUCCCCUCUUUUCCCUCUUUGAUUAUAAGCUCCUUCGUUCUGUUCCUCCUUCACUGGUUGAUUUCUGAUGUGGCAAAGUCGCUCGCGUAUAUAAAUUGAUUGGAUUGGAUGCACAUGAGCGAGGUUGGACUAUUUUUGAGUUCUAAUCCUCACAGAGAAGUGCGGGAGCCAUGGAGGGGCGCGCUGGAGGGAGCAGCUUGGGUUCUCGCCGCCAUGCUCGCCAUGCCGUGCCAUCUCUCGUUUCUCUCCUUCUUCUUGGUUUUCCCCUCUCUCUCUCCCCCUCAUGCUUCCUCGUUUUCUUUGAGGAGCACGGCGGCGCAACCAUGGCGCCACCCAGGAGAACCCCAACGCCUUGCAAGGUCCAUCUGCCGCUCGCCUGGAUCCGGACGCCGUCGUCGUUCCACGCAUCCAACUCGUCUGCCACCACCCUGUGCAGACCUCACUCAAUCGGAUCAAGCGAGAGAGCCGCCUGCCGUCGUCCCACACGCUCGUUGACCCACCUCGAUCCAGAGAUAGGGGUGGGCCCGCCAGCGGGGUAGGCGGUGGCGACGCACGGCGGCGACCUGUGGGCACGGUGGGGCGGGAUGGGCGGCGGGCUGGAGGUGGGAUCGGGAGGCAGACAUGGCCGAGGAGGACGGGUCAUGGCUGUUUCUUUUUUUCUUUUAUCUCGCAUGUACGGAGUACCAGUUUGUGUUUGUAACAAAUGCAGGGGGUUUUAUGCAAAAACUAAAUGUUUU